AUGAACUUCAAGAGUCUGAAGGGAACAUUAAGGUUUUCUGCCGUUGCCGUCCCUUAACUAAGGACGAGAUCUCCGCUGGCUGUACUACAAUUGUGGAUUUUGAUGCAGCAAAGGAUGGAAUUUUGACAACUAAUGUCAAAACAACCAUUCAAAUUUGACAGAGUAUAUACACCAAAAGAUGAUCAAGGAACAGGAAAGACAUUUACCAUGGAGGGAACAGAGCUGAAUAGAGGAGUAAAUUAUAGGACUCUUGAGCUCUUUUUAACGUGAUGGAGGCCUGGGAUGUACUGCAAGCUGGAAGCAAAGGUAGAGCAGUGGGAAGUAAUAAUGUUAAUCAGCAUAUAGUAGUAGAUCUCACUGUGAGUGUACUAAGAGGAACCUUUGGCUUGUGGAUUUGGUGGAUAAUGAGACUUACAAAAAGACUAAUGUGCAAAGGGAGCGGCUUAAGAAAGCGCAAAAUAUCAACCGAUUUCUUUCGGCUCUUGGCAAUGUUAUAUCUGCUUUAGCAGCCAAGAGUAGUUACAUUUCCUAUAGGUAUAACACCAUUAUCCUUACAUUUUACUAUUCUUAAUAAAUAUUUAGUGAUAUUUGUUUUUGGGAGUUUUAGAAACUCAAAAUUGACACAUUUACUUCAAGGCUCUUUAGGUAUGUCUACUUCUUUUCAUUUUGUUUUUUAUGUGCAUAUGAGAACUCUCAGCUUCUGCAGGCAUGUAUUGAUAAUGCUCUUCCUUAACAUAUAGGGGAUUCCCUAACAUAUAGGGGGUGAUGCUAAAACUUUGAUGUUCGUGCAAAACAGUCCAUUGGUUAAGGACUUAGAUAAAACUUUUAGCUCGCUUAAUUUCACAACUAGAGUGAGGGGUGUUGUGUUAGGUUCCGUUAAGAUGCAAGUUGACACAAGUGAACUUCGAAAGACAAAAGCAAUGCUCGAAGAACUUUAAGGCCAGAUUGAGUUGAAGACAUCCAUGCAAAACCAGUCAGAAAAACAAAUUUUUCAGUUGUCGGAGAAAUUUAAGAUCAAGGAGCUCGAGAAAAAAAAAAAGUAAAAGAGCAGGUAAAGAGCUAAACUUUGCUUCGUGAAGAGGUCGUGGAAGACCUCCAUAACGGACUAGCGCAUUGUUCAGAAGUUACCUGCUGACGAAGCAAAGCUGAGCUCUGUUCCUGCUUUUUUACUUUUCUAUGGAACUCCUUGAUCUGAAUAAUGAACAUAAGAAUCCCAUUACAUACCCGGGAGAGGAAGAAUGCUGAGUAAUCAUAAGUGACCAUAUAUUCUAGUGUAACAUAUAUUCAACACAAACUAAAUUUGUAGGAAAAAUACAUUUUUCUUCUUAUUCGGUGAUUUAAUGGAUUAAGGAAAAAGAUAAACUUUGUGAAUCAUUCAAAUUAUGUGACCUUUCACAUGCAAACAAUCGUUCAAAUUAUGUUCGACUAUCCCAUACAAUUAUGGGUGUGUUUGGUAAACAUGUUGGAAGUAAAAGAAGCACGUUCAAUCUUUUUGAACACUGUAAUUUUAGUUUAGCUAAUGUUUUUCUUCUGAACGUGAA